AUUUUGAGUGAUCAGUCCAGCACCAGUUUUAAUGUGUAGCUGCUUUAGAUGUCUGGAGAGUUAAAGGAAGCCUGGUAUGGCUUACACUGAGACUUACAUCUGAAAUCCAGUGGCAUUUUUCCAGAUUUAUGGAUGUCUUCCCAAUGCCCACUGUUCUGUUUCUCACUGGAGGUGCCUUCAGAACCCUGUAGGAACCUGUUGCAAGCUACUGCCUCUCAACAGAGUCUAAGUUUUGAAUGGAGCUGCAUUUUAGUGCAAAGCUGACAAAAAGAAACACAUAAAUUUACAGGUGUUGGCUGUCUUGUGGGAGCGAGGAGAAGAGGUGGACAGCAAGGAGGAAAGGUGGAAUGCCAGCAGCACACCCUUGUUGGCACCUUACAAAUGGCAAGAUGUCAAGGAAGGGGAAGCUGUGCUGUGCAAUGCACAUCAGCAGUCAGCAAAGGCGAGUUCUCUUCCUGAUCUCAUGGUGGAGGGGUGAGUGAGCUGACGGCUGCAGACCAUGAUGUCCAUCCAGGAGAACAGUCUACCUUCAGGAAAGCCAGGCAAAGAAGACAUACAUGUGUUUAAUAUAAAAUCUGUUUUAAAAGGGCCCCUGUGUGGUGCAAAUUUCUG
rnacentral:lncRNA from 1 species